rnacentral:lncRNA from 1 species
CACAGAAUUGUGCCAAGGGGCAGGACAGAAGGAGGAGUCAGCCCCCGGAGCAGGGAAAUAACUACAAAAGGGCAUGAAGACCAAGAGGCAGGAAUCAUCUAGCCACCCUAGAGUGGCUCUCAUGGUGGCACAAUUAAGCAAGAGGAGUAGAUUGUGUGGGGGUGGUCUGCACUUCCACCUGUAUGCUGUGUGAAAGAGAUUCUACAUGGAUGGUCUUAGAGCUUGCUCUGAAAAGAAAUCAGGAGGGAGCAAGGAGACCUUGAAGAGAAUGAGGCUGG